rnacentral:misc_RNA from 1 species
GAAAUGCGAUGAGUAAUGCGAAUUGCAGAAUUCAGUGAAUCAUCGAAUCUUUGAACGCACCUUGCGCUCCUUGGUAUUCCUUGGAGCAUGCCUGUUUGAGUAUCAUGAAAUCUUCAAAGUAAAUCUUUUGUUAACUCAAUUGGUUUCUACUUUGGUAUUGGAGGUCUUUGCAGCUUCACACCUGCUCCUCUUUGUUCAUUAGCUGGAUCUCAGUGUUAUGCUUGGUUCCACUCGGCGUGAUAAGUUAUCUAUCGCUGAGGACACUGUAAAAGGUGGCCAAGGUAAAUGCAGAUGAACCGCUUCUAAUAGUCCAUUGACUUGGACAAUACUUUUAUGAUCUGAUCUCAAAUCAGGUAGGACUACCCGCUGAACUUAAGC